rnacentral:rRNA from 1 species
AACGCGAAGAACCUUACCUGGGCUUGACAUACUGGUAGUAGAAACCUGAAAGGGCAACGAUCCCCGCAAGGGGAAGCCAGAACAGGUGCUGCAUGGCUGUCGUCAGCUCGUGCCGUGAGGUGUUGGGUUAAGUCCCGCAACGAGCGCAACCCUCGCCCUUAGUUGCCAGCGGGUAAUGCCGGGCACUCUAAGGGAACUGCCCGUGAUAAACGGGAGGAAGGUGAGGAUGACGUCAAGUCCUCAUGGCCUUUAUGCCCAGGGCCACACACGUGCUACAAUGGCCGGUACAAAGGGUCGCGAACCCGCAAGGGGGAGCCAAUCCCAAAAAACCGGUCUCAGUUCAGAUUGGGGUCUGCAAUUCGACCCCAUGAAGUAGGAAUCGCUAGUAAUCGCGGAUCAGCACGCCGCGGUGAAUACGUUCCCGGGCCUUGUACACACCGGUACUA